rnacentral:rRNA from 1 species
UUGACUCACGCGGGAAUCUUACCGGGUCCGGACACACUGAGGAUUGACAGACAAACAAUUUAUAUUGUUACAAAGAUGCUAGUUCUUUCAUGAUUAUGUGAUAGGUGGUGCAUGGCCGUUCUUAGUUCGUGGAGUGAUCUGUCUGCUUAAUUGCGUUUCAAUAUUUAAAUAUGUAUACGUAUGACCCAAUAACUAUGUUGUUGUGUGUCUAGUAUUACUAUCAUUUGAAAGCAACGAACGUGACCGUAUCCUUUUAUUAUAUACACACAUGUAUAUUGUUUUUAA